AGGACGAACGCUGGCGGCGUGCUUAACACAUGCAAGUCGAGCGGUAAGGCCUUUCGGGGUACACGAGCGGCGAACGGGUGAGUAACACGUGGGUGAUCUGCCCUGCACUUCGGGAUAAGCCUGGGAAACUGGGUCUAAUACCGGAUAUGACCUCCUAUCGCAUGGUGGGUGGUGGAAAGAUUUAUCGGUGCAGGAUGGGCCCGCGGCCUAUCAGCUUGUUGGUGGGGUAAUGGCCUACCAAGGCGACGACGGGU
rnacentral:rRNA from 1 species